rnacentral:rRNA from 11 species
GAGUUUGAUCCUGGCUCAGAUUGAACGCUGGCGGCAGGCCUAACACAUGCAAGUCGAGCGGAUGACGGGAGCUUGCUCCUUGAUUCAGCGGCGGACGGGUGAGUAAUGCCUAGGAAUCUGCCUGGUAGUGGGGGACAACGUUUCGAAAGGAACGCUAAUACCGCAUACGUCCUACGGGAGAAAGCAGGGGACCUUCGGGCCUUGCGCUAUCAGAUGAGCCUAGGUCGGAUUAGCUAGUUGGUGGGGUAAUGGCUCACCAAGGCGACGAUCCGUAACUGGUCUGAGAGGAUGAUCAGUCACACUGGAACUGAGACACGGUCCAGACUCCUACGGGAGGCAGCAGUGGGGAAUAUUGGACAAUGGGCGAAAGCCUGAUCCAGCCAUGCCGCGUGUGUGAAGAAGGUCUUCGGAUUGUAAAGCACUUUAAGUUGGGAGGAAGGGCAGUAAGUUAAUACCUUGCUGUUUUGACGUUACCGACAGAAUAAGCACCGGCUAACUCUGUGCCAGCCGCCG